rnacentral:antisense_RNA from 1 species
GUGGCUGCCGCCGUGGCCGCGUAGCCCGAACGCAGAUCGUGGAAGCCGAAGCCGCGGCAACGGUGGUCCCUCCAGAUGCCAGGAAAGGUUUGCAGGAAGCCGCUCCCGACACCCUUUGCGCCACCGGAAGCCUCGUUCCCUCAGAUUUCCCCCUCCCUCCCGGACCGACUUCCGGGUGUGGCUGCCGCCCUUCCCCCACCGACGCCGGCGGGAGCCGCCCGUUCGUGCUGCCAGCAGCUUCCGCCUGCUGCGGUCCUGGCAAGCACCUCGGGAUCCCAUUCCUUCACAGGGACCCUAGCCAGUUAAAGCUGAUACAUUCCUGUGGGUCAACUAUGCAACUAACUCAGAUUUUGAGCAAACAAAGCUCUCAAGUUGGUGAUCCUCAGGAGUCUCUGCAUUAGUUGGACAGCUCUUCUGGAAUUAUCUUCUAAGUCAACUGUGGGUUGGGUAGGUGGCUCUGCUGAUUUUUCGCUGGACUUCCACAUUUGGGACCAGUUGGCUGUCAUCAGCUCUAGAAAGGGUGUGGCCGUUUUACAUUGGCUGUUUUCCUCACAUUCCUCAAGCAGAUAACUGAUACCGUGCUUCCAGAAGAUUUUUCUAACAGUGUUUGCAGGCUAUAAAAUAGUGCUUUCACUUGGAAAAGGCUAGACGUGGUGGUUCAUGCCUGUAAUCCCAGCACUUUGAGAGGCCGAGGCACCAUGCCGGGAGAUAAGGAUCCAACAUAAGACAAACAGUGCUGAUGCUUUUGGAAAGCUCAUAUUCAAGCUGGGGAGACAAACAACAUACAAAAGUUCUCAUCAUGAUACUUUAAGGAUGAGGACAGCUGAUGUGGCUGGCCUGAAAAAUAAGAAACUCACUCUGUCACCCAGGCUGGAGUGCAAUGGCACGAUCUCGGCUCACUGCAACCUCUGCCUCCCGAGUUCAGGAGGGCUCUGAGAGAUUUCAUUUCUGUCCUGCUGAUGAAGUCUACUUUCAUUCAGGGCCUGCUGUGGAAGACCAGCCCCCAAAGGAAUGAGACUACAUACACUAAAAAACCAAAAAGCCUAAAAAAAGAGAUGAUAUUUUAAUUUCAAAAGCUUAAUAAUUUGCUGAACAGAAGACUUUUGAGAGUCAGCAGAAAUCUUCCACUUUGCAUGGUUCUCUUGAUGUGAAAUCAUCUAUAUAGCCCCAGAAUUGGAAAAGAAAAAAAAUAAAAAAAUAGAAGGAAACUGGA